GGGAAAGGUGAAAAGCACUUCGAACAGAAGAGUGAAAUAGUCCCUGAACCCAUACGCCUACAAGCUGUCGGAGCCGCUUCGUGCGGUGACGGCGUGCCUUUUGCAUAAUGAGCCUACGAGUUACUCAUCACCAGCGAGGUUAAGUACUUCAGGUACGUAAGCCGAAGCGAAAGCGAGUCUGAAUAGGGCGUCAAGUUGGUGGUGGUAGACGCGAAACCUUAGUGAUCUACCCAUGGGCAGGGUGAAGGUUUGGUAACACAAACUGGAGGCCCGAACCGGUAAACGUUGAAAAGUUUUCGGAUGACCUGUGGGUAGGGGUGAAAGGCCAAUCAAACUGGGAAAUAGCUCGUACUCUCCGAAAUGCAUUUAGGUGCAGCCUCUGUUGUUUUGUUCUAGAGGUAGAGCUACUGAUUGGAUGCGAGGGCUUCACCGCCUAUCAAAUCCGGCCAAACUCCGAAUGCUAGAACAUGAAGACAGGGAGUGAGCCAGCGGGUGCUAAGGUCCGUUGACGAAAGAGGGAGAACUCAGACCAUCAGCUAAGGUCCCCAAUUAUAUGCUAAGUUGGAAUAAAAACGGGGUGGGACUGCUUAGACAGCUAGGAUGUUGGCUUGGAAGCAGCCAUUCAUUUAAAGAGUGCGUAACAGCUCACUAGUCGAGCGGUCCUGCAUGGAUAAUACGCGGGCAUAAGCAUAUAACCGAAGCUAUGGGAUUGUAGAUGAUACAAUCGGUAGGAGAGCAUUCCAUUCAGCGUAGAAGCAGUAUCGUGAGGUAUUGUGGAGCGGAUGGAAAAGCAAAUGUAGGCAUAAGUAACGAUAAUGCGGGUGAGAACCCCGCACGCCGAAAGAUCAAGGAUUCCCCGGCAAUGUCAAUCAUCCGGGGGUAAGUCGGAUCCUAAGGGUAAGCCGAGUGGCGAUCCCGAUGGCAAACAGGUUAAUAUUCCUGUACUGAUCAUAACUGCGAUGCAGCGACGCAGAGGUGACACUGCUGCGUACUGACGGAAUAGUACGUUGAAACCCGUAUUCUUUGAUACCGGUAGUGAAGCACGCCGGUAGAGAUGAAAGGUGAUAGUACCGCAAUGCUUCGGUUGCGCGGAUAAUGCAGGUAAGCUGACUGCCAAGAAAACCUGCUAAGCUUCAGGUAAUGAUCAUCCGUACUGUAAACGGACACACGUGAUCAGGUAGAAAAUACUAAGGCGCUCGAGAGAUUCAUGGUUAAGGAACUAGGCAAAAUGGUCCUGUAACUUCGGGAUAAAGGACGCUCUUGUGAAAGAGCCGCAGAUAAUAGGCCCAGGCGACUGUUUACCAAAAACACAUGGCUAUGCUAAUUCGCAAGAAGAUGUAUAUGGCCUGACACCUGCCCGGUGCCGGAAGGUUAAGAGGAGAGCUCAGAUGUAACUCGAAGGUUUGAAUUGAAGCCCCGGUAAACGGCGGCCGUAACUAUAACGGUCCUAAGGUAGCGAAAUUCCUUGUCGGGUAAGUUCCGACCUGCACGAAUGGUGUAACGAUCUGGGUACUGUCUCAACCAUGAGCUCGGUGAAAUUGUAGUUCCGGUGAAGAUGCCGGAUACCCGCAACGGGACGGAAAGACCCCGUGAACCUUUACUGCAGCUUUGCAUUGAUUUUGGGUAACAGAUGUGUAGGAUAGGUCGGAGGCUUUGAUGCUGCGUCGUCAGGCGUAGAGUAGCCGUCGUUGAAAUACGACCCUUUUGUUAUCUGAGGUCUAAUCCCGUUAGGGAGACAUUGCAUGGUGGGUAGUUUGACUGGGGUGGUCGCCUCCAAAAGUGUAACGGAGGCUUCUCAAGGUACCCUCAAGGCGUUUGGUAAUCGUCUGCAGAGUGCAAUGGCAUAAGGGUGCUUGACUGUGAGACCGACACGUCGAUCAGGUUGGAAACAAGAGCAUAGUGAUCCGGUGGUUCCGCAUGGAAGGGCCAUCG
rnacentral:rRNA from 1 species